CCACUCUCCCUCACACCGAUACCCACUCUCCCUCACACUCCAAACAGCCGGCGACGCUUCACCUUCCAUAGCACCGGCAACGCUUCACCUUCCAUACCACCGGCGACGCUUCGUCUUCCUUCGCGUUGGCGACGCUUAGCCUUCCUUCGCGCCGGCGACACUUCGCCUUCCAUAGCACCAGCGAUGCUUCGCCUUCUAUAGCGCCGGCAACCUUUCGUCUUCCUUCGCGCUGGCGACAGUUCGCCUUCCUCGCAAUGAUUCUCCUCUAAGUUGUCAAUCCCAGCAAUGAGCUCCGAUCUAAACAAAGCCAAGACCGGGCCUAUCGUCAGCGACACUUUUUGGAGGCCGAGUCGGCAAAUCAGGCAGCGCCGUCUUGAACCUCCCGCUGUUUUAUCUUGAAGUUUUCAUUGACAGACUUCAUAUGAGUAGUCUCGUGAAUGCCUUCGUAAAGAACUUGAUGGAUGCUGGUUUGAUUAUAUCCUGGAUACUCUCAGAAACAGCUCUUGAGGAAUCAUCCCAAUUUAAAGAUCCCUUUUUUGCGUUAGAGAUUGCUGUCUGCCAACAAGAUACUGAUGAUAUUGUACCUUUUAUAUUAAUUAAAAUUAAUUGUUGUAAUUAUUUGAGUUUCUUCCUCUUACAAGACAUUGUUCUUUUUUGGAGUAAAUAAAUAUUAUUUACGUAUUGCAAGUGACUGUUUCUGCUUGGCAAAGGAUGGUAGAAGCUGUGAAGGCUGAAUUAGUAGCUCUAAUGUAUAAGAAAACCAAGACUUGUUAGAGUACGUGGCGCUGGUGGACGCUUAACUUUUGGAGCAACGGGUGAAGCUGAAGUCGUUAGUGCCUGAGGGAAAAUAUUCUCAAAGUGCAAGAGGAACAUUGUCAAGAUCUUAAUGCAAUUCCCCUUACCUAUGGGGGUGGUUCAACUUCAAGUUAAAAAACUUUUUGAUUCUUAUUGGUGGUUUUUAGGAGAUUUACUUUUGGCAUUGCUUUGAAGACAUAUGAGGACAUCUUCCGUUAGUUCUAGUUAUAUUAUGCUACACUUUUUGUAUUAUUAUAAAACAUCUUGAGUAAUUGUAUAUGUUGCAAACAAUUAUUGUAUGGAAAGAGUUUGAAUUGGAUACUUGUUUUAUUUUUUACUUGUGGAAUGUAUGGAUCUCUUUUUAUGUUGAAAUAAAUGUGUUAUUCAAA